rnacentral:rRNA from 1 species
CCUACGGGAGGCUGCAGUCGAGAAUCAUUCACAAUGGGGGAAACCCUGAUGGUGCGACGCCGCGUGGGGGAAUGAAGGUCUUCGGAUUGUAAACCCCUGUCAUGUGGGAGCAAAUUAAAAAGAUAGUACCACAAGAGGAAGAGACGGCUAACUCUGUGCCAGCAGCCGCGGUAAUACAGAGGUCUCAAGCGUUGUUCGGAAUCACUGGGCGUAAAGCGUGCGUAGGCUGUUUCGUAAGUCGUGUGUGAAAGGGGCGGGCUCAACCCGCGGACGGCACAUGAUACUGCGAGACUAGAGUAAUGGAGGGGGAACCGGAAUUCUCGGUGUAGCAGUGAAAUGCGUAGAUAUCGAGAGGAACACUCGUGGCGAAGGCAGGUUCCUGGACAUUAACUGACGCUGAGGCACGAAGGCCAGGGGAGCGAAAGGGAUUAGAUACCCGAGUAGUC